rnacentral:rRNA from 1 species
GGGAGAACCUUCGUUAAGGAAUUAGGCAACAUGACUCCGUAACUUCGGGAUAAGGAGUGCCGCAGUAGGGUAAGUUAUCUGACGAUAGCGAGCUCGAGACGGCCGCAGAGAAGUGGCCCUACCGACUGUUUACCAAAAUCACAGGUCCCUGCCAACGCGCAAGCGGAAGUAUAGGGGCUGACGCCUGCCCAGUGCCGGAAGGUUAAAGGGAGAGGUUAGCGCAAGCGACGCUUUGAACUGAAGCCCCGGUGAACGGCGGCCGUAACUAUAACGGUCCUAAGGUAGCGAAAUUCCUUGUCGGGUAAGUUCCGACCCGCACGAAUGGCGUAACGAGUGGGGCACUGUCUCGACGAAGGACCCGGUGAAAUUGAAAUAGGCGUGAAGAUGCGUCUUACCCGCAGCAGGACAAAAAGACCCCGUGGAGCUUUACUGCAGCCUGGCAUUGUGUUAGGGCUGAAUCUGUGUAGGAUAGCUGGGAGACUGGGAAACUGGGGCGCUAGCCUCGGUGGAGUCGCCGUUGGAAUACCAGCCUGAUUCAGCUUUGACCCUAACCUGCGACCCUAAGCGGGCGUGGGGACAGUACCAGGUGGGCAGUUUGACUGGGGCGGUCGCCUCCUAAAAGGUAACGGAGGCGCCCAAAGGUUCCCUCAGGCUGAAUGGAAACCAGCCGCAGAGUGUAAAGGCAUAAGGGAGCUUGACUGCGAGACCUACAAGUCGAGCAGAGACGAAAGUCGGGCUUAGUGAUCCUACGGCUCCGAGUGGAAGGGCCGUGGCUUAACGGACAAAAGCUACCCCGGGGAUAACAGGCUGGUGGUGCCCAAGAGUUCACAUCGACGGCACCGCUCGGCACCUCGAUGUCGGCUCGUCGCAUCCUGGGGGGUGAAGUAACUCCCAAGGGUUGGGCUGUUCGCCCAUUAAAGCGGUACGCGAGCUGGGUUCAGACCGUCGUGAGACAGGUCGGUCUCUAUCCGCUGUGGGCGGAGGGGAUUUGAGGGGAGCUGCUCCUAGUACGAGAGGACCGGAGUGGACCAACCGCUGGUGUGCCAGUUGUCUCGCCAGAGGCAUCGCUGGGUAGCUAAGUUGGGCAGAGAUAACCGCUGAAAGCAUCUAAGUGGGAAACUCGCCCCAAGAUGAGAUCCCCCGUUUCGAACUAAGUGCACUGGAAGACGACCAGUUUGAUAGGCGGCGGGUGUACGCACAGCAAUGUGUUGAGCCGAGCCGUACUAAUGCACGAGAGGCUUAGUUCA